AACCACCUCGGGAGGCAGCAGUGGGGGAUAUUGCACAAUGGGGGAAACCCUGAUGCAGCGACGCCGCGUGGGUGAAGAAGUAUUUCGGUAUGUAAAGCCCUAUCAGCAGGGAAGAAAGAAGACGGUACCUGACUAAGAAGCCCCGGCUAACUACGUGCCAGCAGCCGCGGUAAUACGUAGGGGGCGAGCGUUAUCCGGAUUCACUGGGUGUAAAGGGAGCGUAGACGGCCGUGCAAGCCAGGAGUGAAAGCCCGGGGCCCAACCCCGGGACUGCUCUUGGAACUGGGCGGUUAGAGUGCGGGAGG
rnacentral:rRNA from 1 species